GAUGAACGCUGACAGAAUGCUUAACACAUGCAAGUCAACUGUGGCGGACGGGUGAGUAACGCGUAAAGAACUUGCCUCACGGAUAGGGACAACAUUUGGAAACGAAUGUUAAUACCUGAUACUGUGAGAGAGCUUUGCGUCCCAUUGGCUAGUUGGAGAGGUAACGGCUCACCAAGGCGAUGCUGGGUAGCCGGCCUGAGAGGGUGAUCGGCCACAAGGGGACGGAUACACUGCCCUUACGCCUACUGGAGGCAGCAGUGGGGAAUAUUGGACAAUGGACCAAAGUCUGAUCCAGCAAUUCUGUGUGCACGAUGAAGUUUUCGGAAUGUAAAGUGCUUUCAGUUGGGAAGCGGUACCAACAGAAGAAGUGACGACUAAAUACGUGCCAGCAGCCGCGGUAAUUC
rnacentral:rRNA from 1 species